ACACCGUUGGUGAAGUGGUUAUCAUGCUUGCCUUCCAUGGGCUGGAAAUAUCCUCCAUAGUAAUUUAGAGCAAGCGGCUCGGGUUCGAUUCCCGAACGGUGUA